AGUGAACGCUGGCGGUAGGCCUAACACAUGCAAGUCGAACGGCAGCACAGUAAGAGCUUGCUCUUACGGGUGGCGAGUGGCGGAUGGGUGAGGAAUACAUCGGAAUCUACUUUUUCGUGGGGGAUAACGUAGGGAAACUUACGCUAAUACCGCAUACGACCUACGGGUGAAAGCAGGGGAUCUUCGGACCUUGCGCGAUUGAAUGAGCCGAUGUCGGAUUAGCUAGUUGGCGGGGUAAAGGCCCACCAAGGCGACGAUCCGUAGCUGGUCUGAGGGGAUGUUCAGCCACACUGGAACGGAGCAACGGUCCAGCCUCCUACGGAAGGCAGCAGUGGGGAAUAUUGGACAAGGGGCGCAAGCCUGAUCCAGCCAUACCGCGUGGGUGAAGAAGGCCUUCGGGUUGUAAAGCCCUUUUGUUGGGAAAGAAAAGCAGCAGGUUAAUACCCCGCUGUUCUGACGGUACCCAAAGAAUAAGCACCGGCUAAAUUCGU
rnacentral:rRNA from 1 species